rnacentral:rRNA from 1 species
CUCGUAGGCGGCCAACUAAGUCAGACGUGAAAUCCCUCGGCUUAACCGGGAACUGCAUCUGAUACUGGAUGGCUUGAGUUCGGGAGAGGGAUGUGGAAUUCCAGGUGUAGCGGUGAAAUGCGUAGAUAUCUGGAGGAACACCGGUGGCGAAGGCGGCAUCCUGGACCGACACUGACGCUGAGGAGCGAAAGCCAGGGAGCAAACG